GGCGAGCACAGGCUGCGGCCGCCGCUGGCCAUUAGCACCGCAGGAGCGUGGUGAGGGCUAGGACGCAGGCCACGGCCAUGUCAAGCCGAUCCCGUUUAGGCGGCGUCACGCCGAGGACCGCCACUGUUUGAUCGGAUGGUAACCUGAAUUCAUUGCCGUUGGGUGAUGGAAGACACGAUAAGGUAUUGUUUAAAGCAAAAUAAAAGAGGUUGAGAUCUUCCGGGCACCUUACAAGGGAUCUUCACGUUUAAAUUUUGGAAAUGAGUACUUUCAAUGUUAGUACGGCACUGUUUUCAAUACAGUCCUGACCUUUAUUUUAUAUAGUCUUUCAUAAGCCAAAUAAAGCUUGGUUGAUGAGUAA